CGGGGUGGAGUAACGCGUGAGGAACCUGCCUUGAAGAGGGGGGAAACAGUUGGAAACGAACUGCUAAUACCGCAUGACGCAUAGGGGUCGGCAUGAUUCUUAUGCCAAAGAUUUAUCGCUUCAAGAUGGCCUCGCGUCUGAUUAGCUAGUUGGCGGGGUAACGGCCCACCAAGGCGACGAUCAGUAACCGGACUGAGAGGUUGAACGGCCACAUUGGGACUGAGAUACGGCCCAG
rnacentral:rRNA from 1 species